rnacentral:tRNA from 1 species
GAGGUCGAGGGUUCGAACCCNCCUGCCUUACAAGCAGGGGGUCACAGGUUCGAGCCCUGUUGGUCCCACCA